rnacentral:rRNA from 1 species
UGACGUAUCUAACCAGAAAGCCACGCUAACUACGUGCCAGCAGCCGCGGUAAUACGUAGGUGGCAAGCGUUUCUGAAUUUAUUGGGCGUAAAGCGAGCGCAGGCGGUUUCUUAAGUCUGAUGUGAAAGCCCCCGGCUUCAACCCGGGGAGGGUCAUUGGAAACUGGGAGACUUGAGUGCAGAAGAGGAGAGUGGAUUUCCAUGUGUAGCGGUGAAAUGCGUAGAUAUAUGGAGGAACACCAGUGGCGAAGGCGGCUCUCUGUUCUGUAACUGACGCUGAGGCUCGAAAGCGUGGGGAGCAAACAGGAUUAGAUACCCUGGUAGUCCACGCCGUAAACGAUGAGUGUUAAGUGUUGGAGGGUUUCCGCCCUUCAGUGCUGCAGCUAACGCAUUAAGCAUUCCGCCUGGGGAGUACGACCGCAAGGUUGAAAUUCAAAGGAAUUGACGGGGGCCCGCCCAAGCGGUGGAGCAUGUGGUUUAAUUGGAAGCAACGGGAAGACCCUUACCAGGUCUUGACAUCCUUUGACCACUCUAGAGAUAGAGCUUCCCCUUCGGGGGCAAAGUGCCAGGUGGUGCAUGGUGGUCGUCAGCUCGUGUCGUGAGAUGUUGGGUUAAGUCCCGCAACGAGCGCAACCCUUAUUGUUAGUUGCCAUCAUUCAGUUGGCCAUUCUACCAAGACUGCCGGUGCCAAACCGGAGGAAGGUGGGGAGGACGUCAAAUCAUCAUGCCCCUUAUGCCCUGGGUUCCACACGUGUUCCAAUGGGAAGUACAACGAGUUGGGAAGUCGGGAGGUUAAGUUAAUUUCUUAAAGCUUUUUUCAGUUCGGAUUCCAGGCUGCAAUUCGCCUGCAGGAAGCCGGAAUCGUUGGUAAUCGCGGAUCACCACGCCGCGGGGAAUACGUUCCCGGCCCUUGUCCACACCGCCCGUCCCACCACGAGAGUUGUACCACCGGAAGUCGGUGAGGUAACCUUUUGGAGCCAGCCGCCUAAGG